rnacentral:rRNA from 1 species
GAGUUGCGAACGGGUGAGUAACGCGUAGGUAACCUGCCUGGUAGCGGGGGAUAACUAUUGGAAACGAUAGCUAAUACCGCAUAACAGUAGAUAUCGCAUGAUAUGUGCUUGAAAGGUGCAAUUGCACCACUACCAGAUGGACCUGCGUUGUAUUAGCUAGUUGGUGUGGUAACGGCUCACCAAGGCAACGAUACAUAGCCGACCUGAGAGGGUGAUCGGCCACACUGGAACUGAGACACGGUCCAAACUCC